rnacentral:lncRNA from 1 species
GACUAAUUCUCAAAAAAUUCUGCAUUAUUAGGGCAGGAGAGAUAAUCUCCAAGCUGGGCAUCAGUUAUCUUUUCCCAGUGAAAGACCAGGAUACAACAGCAUUCCAAAAUCCUGCUUAGGAGGGGCUUGUCGUAACUCAAACAGCCCUGCGUAUGGCUCAUUACAUCAAUGGCUUCUUAUGGACUCCAUCUCCCAGCAAAUCCAAAGGACAUUUAAUUAUUUUGGCCUGAAAGCAUACUUCAGAAGCCAAGUUUGGUACUAGUUUAAUUUACAGAUGAAAUUCAUGAGAACUUUCCAGGCUUAGAAGAAAUUAUUGCCUUCAUUACAUAAGUUUCCAUUGUGGAACAUUUAUACUUUCUCAUGGAGAGAUUUGGUAUGGAAUGCUAUUCAGGAUGCACAGAGGAAAAUCCUCAUCUUGGCAUGGUCUGACACCCUUCAGCUUUUUACUUCAGAAAUUCUAGAAUUUAGAUUGUGGAUCAGCCUCCUUUGCCUAUUCUGUUCCGUGAAAGAGUUUAACUGGUUAGAAUCAUAUAGCCAAGCCAAGUAUUUUGGAAAAAAUAUUGGUAUUUUUGGUAUUAAAGAUUUAUUUCCAUUUAUUGGAUUUCUGAGACAAGAAAUGAAAGAACUGAAAUGACGUCCUAUGAGAAAACCUUGUCAUCUUGAUAUUUGUGUCUUACCUAACUUCAGGAAAUAGCAACAACUCCUAUAAAACCAAUUAUAUUUAAAACUGAAGAAUAUUAACUAUCUAAUACAAACUCUGGACUCUUUUAUUUUCAUUUAUUGUGUCAAUGAUACCAAUUCUCAUUCA